rnacentral:rRNA from 1 species
AUUGAACGCUGGCGGCAGGCCUAACACAUGCAAGUCGAACGGUAACAGGAAGCAGCUUGCUGCUUCGCUGACGAGUGGCGGACGGGUGAGUAAUGUCUGGGAAACUGCCUGAUGGAGGGGGCUAACUACUGGAAACGGUAGCUAAUACCGCAUAACGUCGCAAGACUAAAGAGGGGGACCUUAGGGCCUCUUGCCAUCUGAUGUGCCCAGAUGGGAUUAGCUAGUAGGUGGGGUAACGGCUCACCUAGGCGACGAUCCCUAGCUGGUCUGAGAGGAUGACCAGCCACACUGGAACUGAGACACGGUCCAGACUCCAACGGGAGGCAGCAGUGGGGAAUAUUACACGAUGGGAGCAAGCCUGAUGCAGCCAUGCCGGGUGUAUGAAGAAGACCCUCGGGUUGUAAAGUACGUUCAGCGGGGAGGAAAGGAGUAAAGUUAAUACCUUUACGCAUAGAAGUUACCCGCAGAAGAAGGUCCGGCAAACUCCGUG